AUUCAGAUGACGAGUCUUAAAUAGGACGAAACGCGCAUACUAGAU
rfam:Schistosoma haematobium scaffold1485_3, whole genome shotgun sequence.